ensembl:lncRNA
UUUCACUUUGCUUCUGAAGGCCUUCUUCUUCGGCUACGUCCACACUAAUGCGUUUUCGUUUGAAGACGCAUCGUUUUCUCUCCGGUUUGGCCUCCCGUCCACACUGAGACGGCGUUUUCCUCAAGGAAAAACGCAGCAUUUUGAAACCGCUCUCGAAAACGCAGCUGUCCCGUCGCAGUGUGGACGCUCGAAAACACAGACGUUCUAAAACGAUGACGCAUUUUAGUCAUGUGAUGCAGUCAUGUGACCAAUUAAACAAAGAUAGUGGAGGUCAUUAUACAGCAGUUGUUUUGAUUGCUCUCAACUUUGACAGCCCUAAAAAAGAUUAAUAUCAGUUUGUACAUGCUGCAGACAGCUUUUCUUCAAAUUCUUUAAUUCUCACUCGUUUUUGCGCAUGCGCAGGACUGAAAUGUCAGCGUUUUCAUCCGUUUCAAUGUGGAUGCACAACUCUGUAAAAACGACUGAAAAUGCUAGUGUGGAUGCAGAGCGUUUUCAGACGAAAACGCCGUUUUCAAAUCUAUCCGGGCUAGUGUGGACGUAGCCUUCAUCUCGAGGACAGCUUUGACUUCCUGCGUUACCAACAGUUUGUUAUUAGAGUAACACCGCACCGUCUUAGCAGGGGCAACCACGUCCACACAAAAGUUGAGAUAGUCUGUCAGACAGUGUGUCACCCCCUGUAUGUCCUCGCCAUGUGGGCUCAGAAGCACAUCCCAGUCUGUGGUGUCAUAGCAGUCUCUCAGAGCUUUCUCCUUUUCUGGGGUCCAUCUCCUAAUGGAGCGUGUUGUCGCAGGCUGCCUUUGGACGAGGGGUGUGUACUGUGGCUGUAAGUAGACCAGGUUGUGGUCUGACUUCGCUAGUGGGGGGAGGGGGGUGGCUCUGUAUGCAUCUCUCCUAUUAGCAUACAGUAGGCAAGGCUCUGGAGUGCGACUAAUUUUGUCGCAAAUGCGACCAAAUUUUUCAAUGGUGAGACUAAAAAAAAUCCUUGGUCACACCACUGCAACCAGCUGUUCCAGUAAGAAAAAGAAAAAGAAAAGAAAAAAGUCUCUGCAACUCUGAAAGUCUCCGUGUGGUCAACAACAGACACACAUUAUGCCCCUAUCAUGGUCUAAGCUAUGGAGUUAAAUCAGGGCCAUAAUGUUUGUUUAGUUAAAAAAAAAUUUGAAAUCGAAAAUAUGUAAACUGAAAGCAAAAGUCACAUUUUUAGAGUGAACUUUGAAAAAGAAAGAGUUGGAUUUAAAAUUUUCAGAUUCAGAUCUUUUAAAUUAAUGUACAAAAAAACAAUUCUUCAGGUUCGGAUUUUUCUCUCAGCUUCAAAUUUUUUUUUUUCACUUUCAAAAAAAAAUUCUUCAGGUUCGGAUUUUUCUCUCAGCUUCAAUUUUUUUUUUUCACUUUCAGAUCUCUAUUUUUCAGUUUCAGACUUUUGGCCCUGUUUUGGCGUGGUGGGCGUGGCUACACACAGAGGGGCGGGGAAUCAUGAGUGACAGCAGACCGCUGCAGGCUCAAGAUGGUCCAUUUUUCAUGUUGCCUUCAGGAAACCUGGGAAUGAACAUAAUUUAUCAAACACCUCCUGCAUUAUAUUAUUUGAUAAUGUUUAGAAAACAUGUCAUGCAUAACUGCUAAAACUCAGUUACUAAAGCUCUUUCAAGCAGUAAUGUGUACAAAUUACGCCGUAACUGAUCAAUUAUGAGACGUUUUCCCAGACACUACGUGAGAAGUGGUCAUUUCCCAUGCUCUCAAAGUAGCGCGCAUUGUAUCGGCUGGGGGCUGCUGUUAACUUGUCCCUCAGUGAACGAUGGCGUCGUCUUCCAACAACACUGCUGGCGCGAACAAUCAGAAAUGGUCGCCGGAAUCGAGACUCGUUUCUUUGAAGGACCACCACACCAAAAAAGUCCACGCUAUUCCCUUACUGACUUUGACAGUGGACUCUUCAGGACUGUUGGUGAGAUUCUGGCCGUCGGUUUGGCACAAGGAGGUUCUGCCCUACAUUUUUCAGCCAGUGGGCUUACAGUUACCUCUGCAAUGGGCAGAUCAACCCAACACAGCUGGAUAAAAAUACAGUGGCAGAUUCACAGUUGCGGUUACUGAUUGACCAGGUGGAAUCUUCAACUGAGCAGUCACUUCAGGGCCUUACUGAUGAGAUUUUAAACUGUGGAUUCACUGGAGCCAUCUCGGUUCAAAACAAGGAACCGAUUGUCCGAGCCAUUACACUCCAUGCUGUGCUUAGAUUGCAGCCAAUGUUGGAACAACUCAAGGAGGGUUUGCAGCUGUAUGGCCUCCACCUGCUGAUUAAGCAAUACCCAGAAAUCUGCCAGCCUCUCUUCGUCCUUGGGGAGAUGUGAAAAUUAAUGCCGAGUUUGUCAUGGCGUCCAUUCACCCUCAGCUGAGUGAGAAGGGAACCUCCAAGCAUCAGUUUGAGCUGGACCUGGUUAACUUCAUUCAGGACUUGCUUUAUGAGUCAGAAGAAGGUCAAGAACAUGUAGCUGACGAAGAUGGCCCAAGAUCUAUCACACCUGCCAGGUUUCUGCAAUGGAUCACCGGUCAAGGCCAUGUUCCUCUCCUCCCUCAGAAAAGAAGGACUUUGCUGUGGUGGUAAAAUUUAAUCACAAUUGUGAAGCUGACUUUGGAAAUCACAGCAUCUGCUAUCCUGUUGUGUCAUCCUGUGCUAAGACCAUUGUCCUGCCUGUGAAACAUAUGAAGUCCUAUAGUCAAUUCAGAAUGGUUCUGGUGGAGGCUUUUCAUCUUGGCCAGGAAUUUAACAAUGUGUAAAAGCAUAGCAUUGUCUAUCAAUAGUUUUGAGGUGUAACUCAAAAUGCUGCUCCUUCCAUUUAAUGUUCAGGAAGCACAUUUCAAAGUUGGAGAUUGACAGCCAGAGUUCUUUAAUGAGUGGCAUGAAGCACACAAAAACAUACAGGUUUACUGUUGAAAAAUGUGCCAGAGACAAAAAAAAAAAUAGUUUGUAAUGUGAUGUUUGAGUGUUCACAUAAAAUUUCCUGGCAGGUUCAUUUUACAUGUAUAUCACAUCAAAUAAAAGUCUGAGC